GACGAACGCUGGCGGCGUGCUUAACACAUGCAAGUCGAACGGAAAGGCCCUGCUUGCAGGGUACUCGAGUGGCGAACGGGUGAGUAACACGUGGGUGAUCUGCCCUGCACUUCGGGAUAAGCUUGGGAAACUGGGUCUAAUACCGGAUAGGAGCCAUCUUUAGUGUGGUGGUUGGAAAGUUUUUUCGGUGUAGGAUGAGCUCGCGGCCUAUCAGCUUGUUGGUGGGGUAAUGGCCUACCAAGGCGGCGACGGGUAGCCGGCCUGAGAGGGUGUACGGCCACAUUGGGACUGAGAUAAGGCCCAGACUCCGACGGGAGGCAGCAGGGGGGAAUAUUGCACAAUGGGCGCAAGCCUGAUGCAGCGACGCCGCGUGGGGGAUGAAGGCCUUCGGGUUGUAAACUCCUUUCGCUAGGGACGAAGCUUUUUUGUGACGGUACCUAGAUAAGAAGCACCGGCUAACUACGUG
rnacentral:rRNA from 1 species